rnacentral:lncRNA from 1 species
GUUAUGUCACCUGUCAAGCCUCAGUGUUCCCCCAUCUGUGAAAUGAAGAAAAUAACUCUGCUAAUUACCUCACAGGCUACUAAUAUAAUGAAAUGCUGAAACAUCCACCAAUGCUCUGUGAAAUGCAAACCGUGGCUGAAACAAGUGAUCCGGAAUUAUUACAUGCGUCUGCUUCUGGCAUGACAGAAUAGGUGCUAUCUGAUCAAAUUCCCUGCCCAAAACAACAGGAAACACUGCAUAAAACAUGGAGAUCACAGCAAUGGAACCGCACUGAGGUGAACCUGACCUUGAGUGCUACUUUACCCUUCAGGCAUUUGAGAGAAUGAAAAGCCAACAGAAAGUGGCUGCUGUGGAUGAGAGGAGUACAUCAGACUUUCAUCCACUCACAGGGCUGAGAGAAACCGUGAAGCUCGAGGCUACCUACCCAGCCAAGAGCUGAGAGCCUUAAGGAACAAGAGAAAUGCAUGAAACGGAGCCCAAACUCGGCACCACUUCUCUCCCAAGGUGACGGCUGCUUUACAAACAGUAGCCCAGAGGCUGACGAUCCCUGGAAAAAGGCCACGCAGAGCUGUGGGCACUGUCACUCUGCUGUGGGGAAGUGGAGCUCGGGGCACCAAGGAGCACUCAUGAACAGGGAUGACCAGAAACAGACAGGGCCUUACCAAACCUGCACAUGACUUCACGCCAGCUCAGGAAGGGCUCUGAC